CGAAAACCUGGAAAAGUUACCUGACGAAGCGAUCUCAGCCCAUCCACUGAUGUCACAUCACCACACCUUACAGAGCCUCAGUGGAUUUCAUCACAUUGUGAUGAUCCGUCGUGCCUUCCACACGCAGCCCGGAGGUUUGGCCGUGCCGUGGUCCAAGGUCUAGUUUGAUGCAGCAUUGCUCUGUCACCCUGUGUGAGUUUUACUGAGGAAAAUCGGAAAGUACAUGAGCUAAAGCCAUGAAAUUAAGCUGAAGUCACAGAAGUGCUGUUUGUGGGAUGACAAUGUUUAGCUGGUAAAAGGUGCAAGUGAAAAGAUACAGAAAGAAAAAGGAAAAAAAAAAGCAGAAAACACGAUGAUAACUCAGUAACAGUGAGGAUGAGCUCAUACCAAUAAAAGUUAAGAGACUAACUUUCCCCAGCAUACUGAAAACUUCCUAGCCAGCUAAAACUCAUCAGUUUUCUUAUCAGGAGUGAGUCUCUUUGUGCUGGUAAUUGACACCUGAACAAAAGCAACCUGUUGAUGAUGAGUUGCAUGUUCUCCUGCUAAAGUACUUUCU